rnacentral:lncRNA from 1 species
CCUUUCUGGGGUACCCAUUCUUAUCCGUCAAGAUUUCCACCAUACUGGCUCAUCUAUACAGACUCACAUAUAUAGCGACAUAAAAAGGAGGACGAGCAGCACUCCCUUCAUCAUCUCACAUCCUAGCAUUUGACAAAAACUAGCUGAAAACCACCCCAAUUCCUUUACCCUAAGACCAACGCCAACCAAGGUGAAGUAGACAAGAGAGCUAUUUCUCUGUUGCACAUCCAUCUUCGCUGCCAACCGGCAAGCUUAGCGGGAAAACCUCCAUUUUCAGUGAACAAGAAACAAUCAUCAUCCCUUCUCUCUUCGACAAAAAAUGCCACCAUAUCAGCCCUCAAACCAACCAUAUGCUUCCCCAUUUUUAGCCAUGUGAGGCCACAUUUAUCCACUUGCACUCCAGCUGAAAAUCAACAGCGAUCACAACCCCAAACACACCCGAAAAUCACCUAAAAAAUUAGUCCCUUCUCGCGAAAAAGAGCAGCUCCAAGGUUGAAUUCGAGUCCACCGACGAGCUUAAGUUCGAGUGAGAUCCGGUCUUGGUUCGUGAGUCCCGAACACGUUUGUUUGGAGUCUUUGUAAUUUGAUCAGAAAAAAGAUAGUUCAAUUAGAAAGGUCUGCUCCUUUUCACCAUUACUUUGGCAGAAUAAUGUUUGUGUGAUAUCUGCUUGUUCUUAUGACUACAAGUAUGGAUUUGCUUAUUGUUUUCCUCUAUUAUCAUGAUUUUCGUUCAACAUUGUAUCAGAUCCAAGUUUGUUCCAACAAGGUGUGAAGUUGAGAUCUAUAACUUUUUUUUCCAUAAUUUAUUCGAAUUUGUUAUUUAGUUUGGAGUGUUGCUUAAAUAAAUAGUAAGGCAUGUUUGUUUUCUGUUCAUCAUGAGAUAUUUUAGUUUGAAGAAGUUAACUCUUUAAGGUAAAAGAUUUCGAAAUUAUGUGAACAAUCUGGAAAUAGGGAAUUAACUUUUAUUUAUGUUAAAAAAAGGGAAAAGAAUAAGUUUUCUUUUCAAAUCUAAUUAUUUCCUUCAAU